UCACCUCUGGUUGGGGUGGACUGAGGGGUAUCAUGUGACCAAGACUGGACCAGUCCUCAUAUGUCAUACCCCUUGCCACAGUGAUUGGCUCAGUGGUGGCCCUGUGACCCAAGUUUGGUCUUUCCCUUGAGUUUUACCCGCGGGGUCUGGGACAGCAAAAUCCUCUUUCUCUGUGUAUGUUGCUAAUCUGGGUUGAUGAAGCCUGGAGCUGCCUCUGCCAUGCCUUCUGCUGUGUGGACAGAACUCUUUCAUCUUAAGAAAGAAUGAGUCCAACACAUGGAGAGAAGCAGAGAGCUAAGAUAUGGGGUGAGAAGGGAGCAGGGGAAGGAGGCCAAGAGAGAUGCUCUCGUCAUUUGAUUUCCUGGGGAUAGCUGUAGUCUCUCACAGCCAGUGAGUUCUGACUUUUCCUUAAGCCAGAUUGGGUUCAGCUUCUGUUCCUUGAAGUCAAAGAUUCUAAUAAAUGUGUUGGUAUAUUUAAGGUAAUGGCCCCCUUAUAAAUGAGAGUUGUGUUUAUGUCACAACAAAAUCCUGACCGCUAAUCUAAGCUGCUAAUAUGGCACAAGAGUCAUACACUGAAUUCUUACAGAGGGCAAAAUUAUCUGGGGUUAUGGAACCCCUCCCAGUUUUGUACCACUGGGACCUGGCAUAGUACCAUGGGACCUGGCACAUAGAAAGCCUCAAUCUCUACUCAGUAAAGUAGGGUAGUGAGGGAGGAUCUAACUGGUUCAGGUGGUCAGUCAUCCUCUAGUCCAGGGGGUCCCAUCGGCUAGGCAGUGGCUCCCACACAGGCCUCAGUUAGCCCACAGCCUGGGUCUCUAUGGGUCAGGCCAGAUGUGGGUAGGGAUCCACGAUGCAGAAAAUCACUUCUUUUGCGUUAAGAGUUCUUUAAUUUGACUGGGUAUGGCAAGUUCUCUGAGUCUCACAAAGGGGACCAAAUAGCAGCUGGGCACUUAACGUGGCUUGCCCAGACCGUUUGAAUCCUCCCAUUAGAGCCCUCAGUGAAGGAUUUGGAAAGGUACUGGGGGAAUUCCAGAAAAAGACAAACUACUCCUGUCCUGCUGAGGGUCUCCCCUUGAGCUUCUCUUCCAGAGGAGCGCUGUGACCCCAGACAAAGAGAGGAGUUCUGGGAAGCCACGGGAGCCUGCACAACUGCCAAAGAAUGGCUGACUCCAGAGCGACCGACCGAGGCCUGCUGGUUCUUAGACUCUCGUGGAUAGGAGCUGGCACAGAAGGGGAAUUUGACACAUGUUUAUUGAAUGAAUGGUCAGUGAGAAGUAUGAGUUCUGGGGAGGAAAUAUGCUACUUCUACAGGCAUGGAUCAAGCACCACCGAGAUCAUGAGUGAACACCAUGAAGAGUAAACACCAUGCGGAUCUCAUGUUUUCAGGACCCCAAGUGUCCAGUGACUAGAAUGAUACACACAAAGUAACAUGGCAAAGAUUCAGCAGAAGGAGAAACCGGGUACCACUGAGACACCCUCCCUGACCAGAAUCACUGUUGGUCACUGGUCACUGGUCACUUCCUCAGCCCACCUGUGGCUCUAAUUCCCACAGCAUCCUUCCCUUGGGAGGCUUUGGCCUCUGGGAAGAAAUGAAUGUGGCCCUCGAGAGAGCCCUGCAUUCUUGCACAGGUGAGCACCCCAUCCAAUUCAAUGUGAACUCAAGUAGAAAGGAUUGUGACCUUUCCAGAGGCCAGAAUCAUUGUUCUGGAACUGGAAGGGGCCACGGCAGUUCUUUGGCCUGGUUCUAAUCUUCUGUCUGAAGAAAUCAUUGUAGUGGGGUGCGACUAUUCUAAUGCCUGGCCCCAGAAUUCUCUUCUGGAGGAGAACUGUUUUAGACCCUGAGGGCGAAGUUGGCAAGAGACAAAAUGAUGAAGAGAGAACUGGUGUCUUGUGCAUAAAAAUAAAUAGGGACUUAGGGUGAGAGACUCUGAAGGAAAGGAAGUACAGGAGGAGGGGACUUCUCAGGGGGAAAUGAAACUUGAAACUUAUACUUGUGGAAAUUUUAAGAACAAGGAUGUCUAAUUUUUGAUUGCA